rnacentral:rRNA from 1 species
UUGGUUGAUCCUGCCAGUAGUGUAUGCUUCUCCUAAAGACUAAGCCAUGCAUGCCCUCGAAUAAGAGGAAGCAAUUCUCUCUGAAUCUGCGAACGGCUCCGCAAACCAGUUGUAAACUAGAGCAAGCUAGUCUGGCGGGCUUCGGCCUCCAGGCGAUAUGGAUAACCCUGGUAAUUCUGAGGCUAAUACAGGACCGCAAAACCGGGCAGCCCAGCAAUGGAUGCCCGGGGCUGUGCGAUAUGGCUUGACAAUGACCGGGAAAGGACGCACACUCAGACCGCGCUACAAAGGAUCGGGACUCCCCUCGGGGAACCCGGCCCCAGCGGCUCUUGCUGUGUGCUUCUGACCUAUCAACUAGACGGCAGCGUAAUGGACAUGCUAUGGUGACAACGGGUACAGAGGAUUAGGGUUCGAUCCUGGAGAGUGGGCCUGAGAGAUUGCUCAUACUUNUAAGGAAGGCAGCAGG